rnacentral:rRNA from 1 species
CAUGCAAGUCGAACGGAAAGGCCCCUUCGGGGGUACUCGAGUGGCGAACGGGUGAGUAACACGUGGGCAAUCUGCCCUGCACUUCGGGAUAAGCCUGGGAAACUGGGUCUAAUACCGGAUAGGACCACUUGGCGCAUGCCUUGUGGUGGAAAGCUUUUGCGGUGUGGGAUGGGCCCGCGGCCUAUCAGCUUGUUGGUGGGGUGAUGGCCUACCAAGGCGACGACGGGUAGCCGGCCUGAGAGGGUGUCCGGCCACACUGGGACUGAGAUACGGCCCAGACUCCUACGGGAGGCAGCAGUGGGGAAUAUUGCACAAUGGGCGCAAGCCUGAUGCAGCGACGCCGCGUGGGGGAUGACGGCCUUCGGGUUGUAAACCUCUUUCAGCAGGGACGAAGCGAAAGUGACGGUACCUGCAGAAGAAGCACCGGCCAACUACGUGCCAGCAGCCGCGGUAAUACGUAGGGUGCGAGCGUUGUCCGGAAUUACUGGGCGUAAAGAGCUCGUAGGUGGUUUGUCGCGUUGUUCGUGAAAACCGGGGGCUUAACCCUCGGCGUGCGGGCGAUACGGGCAGACUAGAGUACUGCAGGGGAGACUGGAAUUCCUGGUGUAGCGGUGGAAUGCGCAGAUAUCAGGAGGAACACCGGUGGCGAAGGCGGGUCUCUGGGCAGUAACUGACGCUGAGGAGCGAAAGCGUGGGGAGCGAACAGGAUUAGAUACCCUGGUAGUCCACGCCGUAAACGGUGGGUACUAGGUGUGGGUUUCCUUCCUUGGGAUCCGUGCCGUAGCUAACGCAUUAAGUACCCCGCCUGGGGAGUACGGCCGCAAGGCUAAAACUCAAAGGAAUUGACGGGGGCCCGCACAAGCGGCGGAGCAUGUGGAUUAAUUCGAUGCAACGCGAAGAACCUUACCUGGGUUUGACAUGCACAGGACGCGUCUAGAGAUAGGCGUUCCCUUGUGGCCUGUGUGCAGGUGGUGCAUGGCUGU